UUCCUGGACAGCAUCUGGACGCCAGAAAAUUUCUCUGUGUUUUUGUACAUGAUCCCCAGCAGAAGGUGAAGAGAACAUCCCGUGAAGCCCUUGGACUGAAAAACCUUGAUGAUGGACUGGGUCUGCACUUCUUCUAAAAGCUCUUCCCAUGCAGCAGGCCAGCUGGAGCCAGGAGAACUGCAGAGCCAGCAGGCACCGAGCACCUCAAAGGCAGUGGUCUUGCAGAAGAAGGACAACCUGGCGGGGAGCCAGGAAAAUAAAUGACCCCAGCUCCGAAUGCCUCACAGCGACAGAGCUGACGUCAGACCUCUUCAGCAACCGACUUUCAAACCAGCCUCUGACAUUGAGCGAGGGCCCCGCUGCUGACGUGACAUUCCUCCCCACCGCCCCUUACACCCCUGCAGACGCGUGCAUGCCAAAAAGUCUGCUCGGACCCCUCUCUCGGCUGCCCAAAGUCCGAGACCCGGGUGAGGCUGAGAGAGGAGGCGGGAGGCUCCCAGGCAGCUCUGGAUGUCUCCUGCUGCUGCUGCUGACCUCUUGCAGAUCCCCCGUCCUGUGGCAUGCACUGCGAAGGACAAUGACAGAAAACCUAAUUUAAACGGGGCUCCUGAGACUCUGUUAAAAUGUGGCCUAGAAAACCAAUGAUGUCAGACGCUGCUUCCUUCAUUCCACUGCAAUGCAAGGAUGGCCCUGAGCUGGCUCCUCCAGCGCUGCAAAAAGUGCUCCAGUGCUGCAAACCAGGGAGGUGCACAAGGCAGCUGGUGGCCCGCUCCUGCCCCAGCUCUCCUCACCCUGCUCGGACAAGGGCUGCCAGCAUCGGGGCAGAGCCGCCACGGUGGUGCAGGUGGGGACAGGGUCGGGGGUGCCGGGAACCAUGCACACAACCUGUCUGCCUCUCGGCCAACUGCGGUUUCAUGUCACAGUUUGGCCGGGGGCAGCUAAUCUUGAAACUCUCUGCAUAUUUCUGAAGCCAGAAGGUUAGGGCAGAAGGCAGGUAAUGAAUCCCAGAGAGAUCUCUUCCAAGAGAGCCAUGUGUAGCAUGAACAUAGAAUAAUGUGACUUCAGGGAAUGGCAAAGCAAAGCAUUUUCCUUCCCUGUCCGAGAGACUUCUGUUCAGUACCAAGCUCCCCCCGAGAACUGAAAUGACCUUCUGUCUGCCUGUCCACAGGAGAGAGAGACAGGACGGAGGCAGAGGAGAGCUCACGUUUUUGUUAGAGGGAAAAAGUAAUCAAAAGUCUGCUGGUGAAAUACUCCUAAUCCCUAUGACUCCUUGUACAGUGGAGCUGGGAAUUUUGUCCCUCUCUCUACCCAUGCAUAGCCCCACAACAGUUUUCUUUCAUUAAGAGCUCCUUGCACUUCCUCCACAACCCCAAGACCACCUUCUCUACAUCCUUUUUUAAUUUAAGGAUUUUAUUGCUUCGAGAGAGGAGAGGGGAAAUGCUAACAAUUACAACUAAGUCCCCUACUGAGCACUCUGUCAUAACCCCAUCCUUGUGGAAUAUGCUUUUUUUUUCAUGUACUUAAUCAUUCAUUUAAUGGAUAGCCAACUGCAUGCAAAGCUUCAAGGUCUAUAAAGAAUGAAGCCUAACCUGCAAGACGCUCU